UCGGAAUUUCCUCGGAAAUUCCUCGGUAUAUUCCGAGGAUUUCAUUUUCCGUCGGAAUGUCCGUCAGAAUAUCGCUGUUUUCUUGUAGUGUUGUAAACCAGCCCAUAUUCUUGACCCAAUCAAUUUGUCACAAGUAAAGACUUUCAAAUAGACUCCUCCACUUCCACCUUCAUCGUUAUCUUCGAAGAAACUCUGACGUUUUUCUACCUUCUGUUUUUCUGAUCGGUAACGGCAGUUUUGCACCAUUCUUUCUCAUUAAACCUAUUAACAUCCUAAUUUAAUCCUUCAAUCGUAAGUUAUUCCACCGUUCCAAAUCCCUCUGUUCUUAACCUUAUAUAAACCCAACGAAUCUCUGCUCCUCGCUAAAUUCAAGAAACCCAUCGAAGCACAUCAGGAAAUGGCGAUCAAAUCGACGAAACCCACCGGUUAGGCUCCAAUCGCUCUAUUUCGCCUGGCUUAACUAAAUCGGGGCUGCGUUUCCGUUUGAUUCAUUUCUGGGAAGCAAGAAACACAGCGAAAGGGGGCAUGCUUAGUGGGUUUAGAACUGCUUCUCAUCGAGGAGCAGGGAAAUGUUGUAGAAGCAAAUCAAGAGCAAGAUGACGAUGUCGGAGAGUCAAAGAAUGUUGUAUCACUGUGGUAGCGUCUUCAAUACUUCCGUUUCUAUUUGUGGCUUUUUCUGAUUUAGUUGUGCUGUUAGUUAAAUCACCCAUUCUCACUUUUAGUUCUUUUUGUUUUGUUUGGGUUCAAAAUAUAAGACCAAGUAGUUUAAAUCCAAAAAUCUAUGAUUCAUUAUGUGUUACAGUGCCUCUGUUGAUCUUUGGAACGUUUCGGCUGUGUUUUUGCUGAGAUUCUUACAGAAAGACCACUUCUUAAGGAAGAACAGAGAUUGAACAACUUCACAAAAUGUAUAAACUCUUUGGUUCACCAGAUAAAGAAUUCUGGGAAAAGAACAUGCUGCAUUCUCAAACUAAGAUGUUUAGACAACAAGAUAUGAACGUUGUCUGAGGAAAAAUUAUAAGGAGUGUCCGAUAACAUCAGCUGAUCUGUUGAUCCAGACAAACGAGGAACUUCCUCUUAUGCUCUCAUGUAAGAGGUA